rnacentral:rRNA from 1 species
AUGCCUGCCGCCACAUCCCCUGCUCCCUUUGACUUUGGGACUUCUUCGGCUCUCAACAGCGGCUCAUCCCCUCCUCCCACCACCCAGUUCGCCCAUCUCUUCUCUUCUUUGGCGCCGACCCCUCCCCAUGCCCGCCACCCCAUCUUCAACGACAGCAUCCACAACCACAUCAAGUUCCUUCUUAACCCCGACGAGCACAACUACCAUAAGUGGAAGUCGUUUUUCCUGCCGGUUCUGAUCCGCUACGGCGUCACUCCAUUCAUCGAGCACCCCCUCCCUGCCAACGCCACCGCCCAACAGCGCGAGCUCGAUGCCCAUCUCGUGCUUUGGAUAUACGCCACCCUCGCUGACAACCUUGUUGAUCAUGUCGUCGGCGCCACCCCCACCUAUGAUCUCUGGAAUCGCAUCCGGGAUUACUACCUCACGAACAGGACGGCUCGGUACAUGAUGCUCAACACACAGUACCGCAACCUCAAGCAGGGGGACCUCUCUGUCGCCAAGUACGCCCGCCGCAUGAAGCUGAUCACCGCCGGGCUCGCCGACAUCGACCAUGCCAUCACGGAGGUGGAUCUCACCACCCAGUUUCUCCACGGCAUCGACAAACGACUCGACACCAUCUGCGUCGUCCUCGGGGACACCGUCCCUCUGCCGCCGUUCGAAAUGGUGUUCUCUCGUCUGAAGCUUGCCGAGGAGAACCUCGCCCAGCGCGAGGCCGCUGAGCCGGUCACCAUCCUCACUGUCACCGGCGGCAGCGGUCCUGCUGGCCACCCUUCCGGUCCUGGCGGCUCCUCCAACACUCGCGCUGGUGACCGCGUCGAUCGCCCAGACCGGGGCGCUGAUCGUGGCAACGGAUCUCAGGCUCGCGGAUCUUGCACCCGCAACGAGGGCGGUGAUCGCGGCGACCGCGGCGACCGCGGAUGUGGGCGUGGGCGCGGUCGGGGACGUGGUGAUCAGGGUGGUCGUGGUCAUCUGCCGCCCAUGUCCUACAACCCGUACAUGGGCUUCUUCGCACCCUAA